UACGAAGGGUACAAGCGUUACUCGGAAUUACUGGGCGUAAAGCGUGCGUAGGUGGUUUGUUAAGUCUGUUGUGAAAGCCCCGGGCUCAACCUGGGAAUGGCAAUGGAUACUGGCAGGCUAGAGUGCGGUAGAGGGUAGUGGAAUUCCCGGUGUAGCGGUGAAAUGCGUAGAGAUCGGGAGGAACACCAGUGGCGAAGGCGGCUACCUGGACCAGCACUGACACUGAGGCACGAAAGCGUGGGGAGCAAACAGG
rnacentral:rRNA from 1 species